ACGCUCGACACCUACGGGAGGUAGCAGUGGGGAAUAUUGCACAAUGGGGGAAACCCUGAUGCAGCGACGCCGCGUGGAGGAAGAAGGUCUUCGGAUUGUAAACUCCUGUUGUUGGGGAAAAAGAGGAUGGUACCCAACAAGGAAGUGACGGCUAACUACGUGCCAGGAGCCGCGGUAAUCUGAGCGGGCUGGCAAGGC
rnacentral:rRNA from 1 species